GCGCCGCUAGCUCAAUUGGCAGAGCAGCGGACGCUUAAUCCGCGGGUUCGGGGUUCAAGUCCCUGGCGGCGCA
rnacentral:tRNA from 1 species